rnacentral:rRNA from 1 species
UGGGGAAUAUUGGACAAUGGGGGCAACCCUGAUCCAGCCAUGCCGCGUGAGUGAUGAAGGCCUUAGGGUUGUAAAGCUCUUUCGCUAGGGAAGAUAAUGACGGUACCUAGAGAAGAAGCCCCGGCUAACUUCGUGCCAGCAGCCGCGGUAAUACGAAGGGGGCUAGCGUUGUUCGGAAUUACUGGGCGUAAAGCGCACGUAGGCGGACAUUUAAGUCAGGGGUGAAAUCCCAGGGCUCAACCCUGGAACUGCCUUUGAUACUGGGUGUCUUGAGUACGAGAGAGGUGCGUGGAAUUCCGAGUGUAGAGGUGAAAUUCGUAGAUAUUAGGAGGAACACCAGUUGCGAAGGCGGCUCUCUGGACUGUAACUGACACUGAGGCACGAAAGCGUGGGGAGCAAACA